rnacentral:rRNA from 1 species
AACGAACGCUGGCGGCAGGCCUAACACAUGCAAGUCGAGCGCCCCGCAAGGGGAGCGGCGGACGGGUGAGUAACACGUGGGAAUUUUCCUCAAGGUACGGAACGACUCAGGGAAACUUGGGCUAAUACCGUAUGAUGUCUAGCGACCAAAGAUUUAUACGCCUUGGGAUAAGUCCGCGUCAGAUUAGGUAGUUGGUGAGGUAACGGCUCACCAAGCCUGUGAUCUGUAGCUGGUCUGAGAGGAAGAUCAGCCACAUUGGGACUGAGACACGGCCCAAACUCCUACGGGAGGCAGCAGUGGGGAAUCUUGCGUAAUGGGCGAAAGCUUGACGCAGCCAUGCCGCGUGAAUGAUGAAGGUCUUAGGGUUGUAAAGCUCUUUCACCGAUGAAGAUAAUGACGGUAGUCGGAGAAGAAGCCCCGGCUAACUUCGUGCCAGCAGCCGCCGUAAAAC